CCUACGGGUGGCAGCAGUGAGGAAUAUUGGUCAAUGGACGAGAGUCUGAACCAGCCAAGUAGCGUGAAGGAUGACUGCCCUAUGGGUUGUAAACUUCUUUUAUAAAGGAAUAAAACGAGGCACGUGUGCCUUUUUGCAUGUACUUUAUGAAUAAGGAUCGGCUAACUCCGUGCCAGCAGCCGCGGUAAUACGGAGGAUCCGAGCGUUAUCCGGAUUUAUUGGGUUUAAAGGGAGCGUAGAUGGGUUGUUAAGUCAGGUGUGAAAGUUUGAGGCUCAACCGUAAAAUUGCAAUUGAUACUGGCAGUCUUGAGUACAGGUGAGGUAGGCGGAAUUCGUGGUGUAGCGGUGAAAUGCGUAGAUAUCACGAAGAACCCCGAUUGCGAAGGCAGCUUACUAAACUGUGACUGACGUUGAUGCUCGAAAGUGUGGGUAGCAAACAGGAUUAGAUACCCGAGUAGUC
rnacentral:rRNA from 1 species